UGUUUAUAUUUAGUGGAUUGUUCAGAAGAAUUCGUAUAUCCACCUCCUCACACACUGGACUGACUGCUCAGCUAGAUCACUGAUUCAGAGCAUUGACUCCAUGAUUACAUCUAACAACCAUGGGCCAGGAAUAUACUUUAGAGAUACUCUAGAAACACGAUAUCGAGUCAAUAAAUGUGCAACAUUGUUUAUCUAAGGAACAAAUAUAAAAGAAGAGACAUUGCUUAAGAGAAGAUGAUGGGUCACCUGACGAACUACAGC
rnacentral:lncRNA from 1 species